rnacentral:rRNA from 1 species
AGUGAACGCUGGCGGUAGGCCUAACACAUGCAAGUCGAACGGCAGCACAGUAAGAGCUUGCUCUUACGGGUGGCGAGUGGCGGACGGGUGAGGAAUACAUCGGAAUCUACUUUUUCGUGGGGGAUAACGUAGGGAAACUUACGCUAAUACCGCAUACGACCUACGGGUGAAAGCAGGGGAUCUUCGGACCUUGCGCGAUUGAAUGAGCCGAUGUCGGAUUAGCUAGUUGGCGGGGUAAAGGCCCACCAAGGCGACGAUCCGUAGCUGGUCUGAGAGGGUGAUCAGCCACACUGGAACUGAGACACGGUCCAGACUCCUACGGGAGGCAGCAGUGGGGAAUAUUGGACAAAGGGCGCAAGCCUGAUCCAGCCAUACCGCGUGGGUGAAGAAGGCCUUCGGGUUGUAAAGCCCUUUUGUUGGGAAAGAAAAGCAGCAGGUUAAUACCCCGCUGUUCUGACGGUACCCAAAGAAUAAGCACCGGCUAACUCCGUG